CCUUUUAAUUCAAGGAUUGCAUGAAAGGGUCCCCGAGUUUUAGACUGUUUCAAAAAUCAAAAAUAAAAUUAAUCCAACAGUAAAAAAUCUUUUAUUAUACAGAAAGACGACAAGACCCUAACAAACUUAUACUAAAGUUUAGCUGGGGCGGCAAAACAAAAACAUCUUACUUCUCUACACACCCCCCUUCCUCAAUUCCACCAGUUACUGUAGGGAUAACAGCACAAUGUUUUUCCAAAGUUCUUAUUUACAAAAAAGAUUGUGACCUCGAUGUUGAAUUAAGUUGUCUAAUAGACGCAAAAGACUAAAAAGAAAGUCUGUUCGACUUUUAAACACUUACA
rnacentral:rRNA from 1 species